CACAAACAUAAAAUAAAAGAAAACCUGUGGCAUCCAAUUCAAGGGGCAUUCAAACAACAUAUCAACACGCAAAAGUGUGAGUUGUCGGUUGAUAUCGUCGUUGAAAGCCGCUCGAAAUG
ensembl:ncRNA K01F9.7 ncRNA